rnacentral:rRNA from 1 species
UACGUAGGCAGCGAGCGUUGUUCGGAAUUACUGGGCGUAAAGAGUGUGUAGGCGGUGCUCUAGGUUCGGUGUGAAAUCCCCUGGCUCAACUGGGAGGGUGCGCCGGAAACUGGAGUGCUUGAGCGUGGGAGAGGAAAGCGGAAUUCCUGGUGUAGCGGUGAAAUGCGUAGAUAUCAGGAGGAACACCUGUGGUGUAGACGGCUUUCUGGACCAUAGCUGACGCCGAGACACGAAAGCGUGGGUAGCAAACAGG